rnacentral:rRNA from 1 species
GAUGAACGCUGGCGGCGUGCCUAAUACAUGCAAGUCGAGCGAACAGAUAAGGAGCUUGCUCCUUUGACGUUAGCGGCGGACGGGUGAGUAACACGUGGGUAACCUACCUAUAAGACUGGGAUAACUUCGGGAAACCGGAGCUAAUACCGGAUAACAUUUGGAACCGCAUGGUUCUAAAGUGAAAGAUGGUUUUGCUAUCACUUAUAGAUGGACCCGCGCCGUAUUAGCUAGUUGGUAAGGUAACGGCUUACCAAGGCGACGAUACGUAGCCGACCUGAGAGGGUGAUCGGCCACACUGGAACUGAGACACGGUCCAGACUCCUACGGGAGGCAGCAGUAGGGAAUCUUCCGCAAUGGGCGAAAGCCUGACGGAGCAACGCCGCGUGAGUGAUGAAGGGUUUCGGCUCGUAAAACUCUGUUAUUAGGGAAGAACAAAUGUGUAAGUAACGGUGCACGUCUUGACGGUACCUAAACAGAAAGCCACGGCUAACUACGU